rnacentral:lncRNA from 13 species
AUGACUGUCAUAAAUACUUGGUUUAUGUCUAAAAUCUGGCUGUUUGUGUGCAGGUUUGGUAUCAUAAAUGCCUUAUUCAUUUUGAGUGGAAAAUGGGUCCUUCAUGCUAUGUGGCAUUGGAUUUGCAACAGGAAACAGCAACUGCUGCCUCGUCCUCCUCCUCCUCCUCUCUUGGAAAGAGCUUGGAGCUUCCUGAUGGACAGGGGAAGGAAUUUGCCAUUGGGAAUGAGUGGUGCUGAUGCCCAGGAGUAUUUUGCUUGUAUAAUGACUAUGCUGAGGUUACAAAGGAGGCUGGAAUCUGCAGGUGUCCACGAAACCACUUCAAACAUGUUGUUGUUCCAUGAGGAUCUCUGUGGGAAAAACGUUGUCUCUGGAGGAACCACAGUGUGUCCUGGGAUUUGGGGUCAUAUGCAGAAGGAGAGGACAGCUUUGCCUCCAAGCACAAUGAAGAUGAAGGUGAUUUUUAACAACUUUACUGCUGCCAGUUCCAUCUUAAAGUGAUUUUUUCCUUAUUCAAAUGGUCUCGUAAUGGUAAAAGCUGCAAAAUCUGUCAAAAGAGACUUUUCAAAGUUCUGUCUAGCUACAUAAAAGUGAGAGGGGUUGAUCUUACCUUCACUCCCACUUUAGAACAGCAGGCAGUUCCAAUUCCCAGUAUCCAUGUCUUGUCAAGCCAGUGGAAACCAUAAAUUCCUCAGCCUCUGAAUGAAUUUGACUUUAUUAUUCUGGUUUCAGUUUGUGUGACUUCUCAGGUUGAUAAUAAAUCACCUUACAUGUAGGAAUAGCACUAUUCACUGGCCCUAUCACCUGCCUGAGCAACAUAAGACACAUUUCAAUCUUGACCUCUCGUAGGUGUGAUGGUGUAGAGCACCAACCCUGGAACUCAGAUCUCUGCAACUGAGUUGCAUUUGCAGUCCCCCUGUAGGAUCAAAGCAAAAUUCCAUUCAAUUUGCUAAGAAUUUACUUGUCCUUGUUUGACUAUUAAAGGUGAAGGAUGUUCUUUAGGUUUUCAAUUUUUAAUUUUUGUUUAAUACAAACUUUUUUUUUUUUUACUUCCACCAUUGCUUCUUUCUAGUUUGGUAAUGAGCUUCCAUGAAUUCUCAGAAUUGCUUUAACAAAGAAA